rnacentral:rRNA from 1 species
CCGCCGACGACCGGCGCACGGGUGCGUAACGCGUAUACAAUCUACCUUAUACUGGGGGAUAGCCUUUAGAAAUGAAGAUUAAUACCCCAUGGUCUAUAGAUAUGGCAUCAUAUUUAUAGUAAAGGUUACGGUAUAAAAUGAGUAUGCGUCCUAUUAGUUAGUUGGUGUGGUAACGGCACACCAAGACUACGAUAGGUAGGGGCCCUGAGAGGGGGAUCCCCCACACUGGUACUGAGACACGGACCAG